UACGGAGGAUCCAAGCGUUAUCCGGAUUCAUUGGGUUUAAAGGGUGCGUAGGCGGAAUGAUAAGUCAGUGGUGAAAUCCUGCAGCUUAACUGCAGAACUGCCAUUGAUACUGUCAAUCUUGAGUAUAUUUGAUGUGGGCGGAAUGUGUCAUGUAGCGGUGAAAUGCUUAGAUAAUGACACAGAACACCGGGUGGCGAAGGCGGCCCACUGGAUCGGUACUGACGCUGAGGUGCGAAAGCGUGGGGAGCAAACAGG
rnacentral:rRNA from 1 species